UGUGGACAUGUGGCCUAGUGGUCAUGGCAUCUGCCCGGUAAGUGGAAGGUCGUGGGUUCGAUUCCCAUCCCUUGACAC
rnacentral:tRNA from 1 species